GUUUCCCUGCCGUGUUCGAGGGAUAGGGCGAAAAUUGUACCUUAGAAAUUGAACCGGGAGCCCGAUAUCUGAGUAGCUGACGACAUGCCCCCUCGUCGGGGAAGCCGGAAGGCUGCCGUGAGGGCACCCCCUUAGUGGGUGAGGUUCAAUUUUUCGUCCCGUCUACGGCACAGUGCGGGGAAGUC
rnacentral:other from 1 species